rnacentral:rRNA from 1 species
UACGAAGGGGGCUAGCGUUGCUCGGAAUCACUGGGCGUAAAGGGUGCGUAGGCGGGUCUUUAAGUCAGGGGUGAAAUCCUGGAGCUCAACUCCAGAACUGCCUUUGAUACUGAAGAUCUUGAGUUCGGGAGAGGGUGAGUGGAACUGCGAGUGUAGAGGUGAAAUUCGUAGAUAUUCGCAAGAACACCAGUGGCGAAGGCGGCUCACUGGCCCGAUACUGACGCUGAGGCACGAAAGCGUGGGGAGCGAACAGG